CCUACGGGUGGCUGCAGUGGGGAAUAUUGCACAAUGGGGGAAACCCUGAUGCAGCGACGCCGCGUGAGUGAAGAAGUAUCUCGGUAUGUUAAGCUCUAUCAGCAGGGAAGAAAAUGACGGUACCUGACUAAGAAGCCCCGGUUACCUACGUGCCAGCAGCCGCGGGCAUACGUCGGGGGCCAGCGUUAUCCGGAUUUACUGGGUGUAAAGGGCGCGUAGACGGGCAUACAAGUCAGAAGGGAAAGCCCAGGGCUCAACCGUGGGAGUGCUUUUGAAACUGCCGGUCUGGAGUGCAGGAGAGGUAGGCGGAAUGCCUGGUGUAGCGGUGAAAUGCGUAGAUAUUAGGAAGAACACCGGUGGCGAAGGCAGCUUACUGGACUGUAACUGACGUUGAGGCUCGAAAGCGUGGGUAGCGAACAGGAUUAGAUACCCGGGUAGUC
rnacentral:rRNA from 1 species